UACGUAGGGGGCAAGCGUUGUCCGGAAUUAUUGGGCGUAAAGGGCGCGUAGGCGGCCAUUCAAGUGACGGGUGAAAGCCCUCGGCUUAACCGAGGAACUGCCUGUCAGACUGGAUGGCUUGAGACCGGGAGAGGUGAGUGGAAUUCCCAGUGUAGCGGUGAAAUGCGUAGAUAUUGGGAGGAACACCAGUGGCGAAGGCGGCUCACUGGACCGGAACUGACGCUGAGGCGCGAAAGCGUGGGGAGCAAACAGG
rnacentral:rRNA from 1 species